rnacentral:rRNA from 1 species
AUUGAACGCUGGCGGCAGGCCUAACACAUGCAAGUCGAACGGUAACAGGAAACAGCUUGCUGUUUCGCUGACGAGUGGCGGACGGGUGAGUAAUGUCUGGGAAACUGCCUGAUGGAGGGGGAUAACUACUGGAAACGGUAGCUAAUACCGCAUAACGUCGCAAGACCUAAGAGGGGGACCUUCGGGCCUCUUGCCAUCGGAUGUGCCCAGAUGGGAUUAGCUAGUAGGUGGGGUAACGGCUCACCUAGGCGACGAUCCCUAGCUGGUCUGAGAGGAUGACCAGCCACACUGGAACUGAGACACGGUCCAGACUCCUACGGGAGGCAGCAGUGGGGAAUAUUGCACAAUGGGCGCAAGCCUGAUGCAGCCAUGCCGCGUGUAUGAAGAAGGCCUUCGGGUUGUAAAGUACUUUCAGCGGGGAGGAAGGGAGUAAAGUUAAUACCUUUACUCAUUGACGUUACCCGCAGAAGAAGCACCGGCUAACUCCGUG